CAGAGAAUAGUUUAGUUUUAGAACUCUGGCUUUGGGAGCCAGGGGUGGGAGUUAAAAUCUCUCUUUUCUGG
rnacentral:tRNA from 1 species